GAUGAACGCUGGCGGCGUGCCUAAUACAUGCAAGUCGAGCGAACAGAUAAGGAGCUUGCUCCUUUGAAGUUAGCGGCGGACGGGUGAGUAACACGUGGGUAACCUACCUAUAAGACUGGGAUAACUUCGGGAAACCGGAGCUAAUACCGGAUAACAUUUAGAGCCGCAUGGUUCUAAAGUGAAAGAUGGUUUUGCUAUCACUUAUAGAUGGACCCGCGCCGUAUUAGCUAGUUGGUAAGGUAACGGCUUACCAAGGCGACGAUACGUAGCCGACCUGAGAGGGUGAUCGGCCACACUGGAACUGAGACACGGUCCAGACUCCUACGGGAGGCAGCAGUAGGGAAUCUUCCGCAAUGGGCGAAAGCCUGACGGAGCAACGCCGCGUGAGUGAUGAAGGGUUUCGGCUCGUAAAACUCUGUUAUUAGGGAAGAACAAAUGUGUAAGUAACUGUUCAUCCCUUGACGGUAUCUAACCAGAAAGCCACGGCUAACUACGUGCCAGCCGCCGCAGUAA
rnacentral:rRNA from 1 species